rnacentral:lncRNA from 1 species
AAAAAAAGCAACCAAGCUCAGAGAGAACCAAGAACCUCACAGGAGAAAGUCAAAUAAUAUGGGGAACUAUUCUGUGUGUUGUUCCUCUAUUCCCCCAUGUCCUUUUCUGAACAUUUUACGUUUACAGCUUCAGCAAAAAGACAGUCCCUCUUAAGUCCCAUCGAGAACAAUUUCCAGAGUGAGGAUCUAUAAAGCCCGGAGCCUUAUCAGUUUUUAAAGACAAACAAAAACUUAAGGUGACAGAAAUAUUUCAGGAGCUAAUUAGUAUUUCAAAAAAUGGAUGAAGAGGAACAUCUCAGACCUGUGAAAAAUUAAAAAAAAAAAUAGGAUGAUGAAUUUCUGUCUCUCAAAAAACGUGUGUCUUGAAUUAGUCCCUAAAGGUCUGUUAAAGCUCUUUCAUGCUUUGAUGGGAUUCAGAGGGAUUGAAGUGGCGGGACGUAAGCCUUUAUCUUAUUACCAAUUUUUUCUCUCUGCCGGUGCCUCGCUUUUCAGCUAAGUUGUGUCAUGUCUUCACACCACAUGGUUGGUCUUUGCAGGAACACCCACAUCAUGUGAAAUGAUGAGGUUUGAAAAUGCUACCUUUCCCGUGCACUAAGGACAACCUGCAGUGUCGCGCUAUCAUCGGGGCAGGUUGUACGAAUGCAGCUACCGUCUUGCUAGUGAAUGAUCCUGGCUAAUCCCCUCAGAGACCUCUUCCAGAAGGAACUGGAUAAACAUCCUUGGACAAAUAACCUGAAAUUGCAUAGAGAGAGAGAGAGCGGAGAAAGUUGGUCUCCUCAUCGUCAUAAUUCUAUAUAAUUUGAGACUUCCCUGAGGAAACCAACUGAUAUUAUUUUUAGGCAAAGCAAAAUAAAAUUUCUUUACAUAGCACAAAACUGGCAGCGGGAUUUUGUCCAUUUGAUUGUUCCACCUGUGCAGGAGUGGUGCAGCCGUGGCCGAGAGGUGGAGACCUCACCUCACAAUCAGGAGGCGAUCCUGGGCAGAGACAUCCGUUCACACAACCAUAAAAGUAUUUGCAGAAUAGUCGAAGCCCAUCACAAUGGACUAGAAUUCAAACUACCAAGUUUAUUACAGCUGUCCAAUUUGAGGAUUUAUUGGUCUUACCUGGAGAACGCUUUGGGGAAGGCUAAAUUAAUCCGAAAUUUUUGUGCCCUUUGA